AAGAAUCAAAAAGUAAAGGUUAGCUCUGCGGAUGUAGCUAACCUUUAGAGAUUUAGAGAUUUAGAUUUACGCAAUUCAGAGAGCGCCUAGCAUACACAGAGGCCUAGAUUUGAUCCCCAGCACUUUAUAAACUGGAUGUGAUAGCCUGGUAUGUAAUCCCAACACAUAGGAGACUGAGGCAGGAGGAUCAGGAGUUCAAGGUUAUCCUGUUACACAGCCAGUUUAAGGUCAAUCUGGGUUAUAUAAGACUCUACCUUAAGCAAACAAACAAAUACACACUAUACACACACAAUAUACACAUAUAGUUAACUUUCUGUUUAAAAUUAAGGAAAAUUAGCAUUUCUUAGGCCCACCUUCAAAGAACAUCCACACAGAUCCUUAUCAUUUACUGUCUUAAGCUUAUGAAGCAAUCAUGUUGAACAGUGGUGCUGGACAGGAAGUAACUUACACGGACACUGUUGGACCAGCAUGGUAUUGGAUGGCAGACAGAGAGAGCUACAGCAGCCACAGCUUUCUUGCUCCCCUCUUGAAAGGUGACCACCCGCAGUGGCCUGUGCCCAGUGGUCCAGAGCAUGCUGUGGAAUCACUCACAGGCUCUGUAACAGGCUGCUCCAUGCCAUCAGCAAGGAGAGAGGGAGUCAGGAUUGGUGCUGCACACUGGUGACGGUCCCCAGGUGAUGCCCAGGCUGUUGGUGUGGAGGUCAAGUGAGACCUGGUUGAGGGAGCUGUGACCCGGGGAAAAUGGAAGACCCUUACACCAUAAGGGUCUUUCCUGAUGUUUGUACUCCAGGGUGAUGGAAGAAAGCGAAUGAGAAAGUAAGAGCUCGUGUAUUCUGUGGGAGAAUGUACCUUCCUGAAAAACAUCAGGGGACCUCUUGUCCUCCCAGUCUCAGGGUGAUUUGAAUGAGGCUUCUCUUCGAGCUGCAAACAUGGAGAUGCAGGGCACAGCUAUGAAAGGACUCAUUUACGGACACAGAACAAACAGCAAGAGGAAACUGAACACAAUCACAGGUGAAGAAGGGGUGACCAUGCGACUAAGAAGAAUAAUUUGAAUUACAUAAAAGAAUGUAACGGUAAAAGUGUAUACAACAUUGGCCUACACCAGUAAGUAACAAUACCACUCCCAGCUGUCCCUGUGUCAUAUGUGCUGCUACUCCGGUCAGAGGCACACAACUCUCACCUAUCAGCAUGCCUGGGGACACGGGGUCCCCGCAUAUGUUCGUCCCAUGUCCUUCCUCCCUUGAGCCCUCUCAUCACUGAAGGCAUAGCCUUGAGUCUAGAGUCUCUGAUAUGGCUCAGGUUUCUCUUUAUAGCAGAGAAUGUUCUGGCUGAACAUUUAAUCAUGUUAAUCAAAAUAAACAUUUUAAUCAUGAGAAAAACUCA